AAGCAACCGCUUCGGAUUUGUCACUGGCUUUUUGCGGUAUCGGCUCCAAGCACAGGCACAACAGAGAACAAAUUGUAAACAAUUAAAAGGAAAACAGUUAAUGUCCUGCAGGAAACGCGGCAUACUUUAAUUUCAGCUUCACAAGUUGCAGAGGGUCCAGGGGUGGCCUGCAUAAAAAAGAAUUGAUUGUUUCAGUCUGUUGUCUCCUAACAGCUUUUUAAUGCAGGACUCCAGCUCCCUGACUUCGGGAGAGCCAGCACUGUGCUGCCAUGCAAGCGUGCAGGUGAGUUGUUGGGAGACCAAGAAAAAGGGAAAGACAAGGAAACAUCAGUUCAGAAAGAGGAAAGAAGAGACCUUAGUGGUGCAGAAAGAAACCACGCCAUGUCCAUAUUGAAGGGGAAUGACUGCAACAGAGAGGAAGACAGAGAAAUAAAGUCAGAUUGGAAGAACCCUGGGAAUAAGGAGAAGAAGUAGUAGGGAGAGGAGAAACUGGAGAUCAUGUCUUCAUUUAAAAGCAGAAACUCUGCGUGAUCUGGGGUAGUUGCGUAUGCCGGGAUCCAUCCCGUCUCAUUUUAGCACUCACUGCAGCACCCAGGCUUCCUAAGCAAGUUGCCCCAUCCACCUUCAACGCCCAGAGCCCCUGGGCAAGCUGCCCCCUUGGGAUCCAUCUUGGCUCUUCCCUGUGCAGCCAGGUCUCUAAUUUCCACCCCAGGUGUCUUAACACCAGCGGACACAAAUCCCUGCCUCGAUUCCUCUAAGCCGCACACCUCAGUCUGCAAAAUGGUGGCAACGGAAUUUCUCUUCCAUAGGGGUGUUGUUGUAAGGAUGGAUUCGGAAAUGAUUGGGAGGCAUUUGGGCACUCUGUCGGUAGAGACACGAAGGAGGACAGAGGCAAAAGAGAGUGGAGAAAAGAAAUAGUGAGAAACAGGAAGAAUUCAUGGUCAGUAGGAGAAGAACUGCAUCUCAUGGAGAGCAUUUUAAAGAAGCAGAGGGAUGAAACCCAGUCUGAAGAAAACACAUUAAAUGAGGAAAAUUGCAACAACAAAAAAGUGGAGAAUAGGAAGAGAAAAAGAAGGAAAGCCCACAGGGACCAUAAAGCAAUUCUUUAUUUUUAUGGAGACUUUCCACUUCUUUAUUCAAUUUUUUGAAUGCAAGUUUUAUUAGUGGUUUUGGCUCUGCCCUUGCAAACAAAUCAGGCAGCACUACCAACAGCAGACUGGGAGGAGGUGAGAUGCUCUUGGAAGUUGCACAUCAUCUUCUUUCUCCUCCUGAAAAGCUGGCUGGGUUAACCCCACUGUUGGGAAGAUCUGCCAAGAGGCCAUGGAUGCUGGUAUUAUAGUUGUUGAUUGGCUUCUUAGAAAGCAUAACCUUACUCUGUAUAGGCCAUUUUUGCAGGGUCUACCUUGCUGAAAAGACAGAGAAACUACUGUAGGCAAAGGCUGAUGCACUUCCAUUACUGAUAUGACACCUCCUCAUGGGAAAGUGCACGUUGAUGUUACGUUGGCUACAAAGUAAAAAUUAAUUACGG